GACAGAGGGUGCAAACGUUGUUCGGAAUUACUGGGCGUAAAGCGUGUGUAGGCGGCCGCGCAAGUCGGAUGUGAAAGCCCUGGGCUCAACUCAGGAAGUGCACCCGAUACUGCGUGGCUCGAGUACCGGAGAGGUUGGUGGAAUUCUCGGUGUAGAGGUGAAGUUCGUAGAUAUCGAGAGGAACACCUGUGGCGAAGGCGGCCAACUGGACGAGUACUGACGCUGAGACACGAAAGCGUGGGGAGCAAACAGG
rnacentral:rRNA from 1 species